GAUCACCAGCUGGCCUUGAGGGACAGGCAGUGGGAGGUAGCCCUAAUGUUGGUGGGCAGAGAAGAGACUUCAAGGAAUCUUUCUCCUUUUGCAUUGCCUGAAGAAGGCAGAAUUCCAACCUGCUUCCUCUCUGCUCCUAAUGGCGCACAGAUUCCAGUGGGACGCACAGUGUAUGUGAUAUCCUCAAAGAGCAAGAUACCGCCCCCCCUAUAUUUAAAUACAUUUAUCAUUGAUGUCCACAGUCCUUCUACACAAGAUCAUCCAGUAUGGAAACAAACAACCAUAAGCCAUUUAACUGUUUCAGUCCAUGAACCCACCCAGGAGUCCCAGUGUCCCCUGCAGACCAGCCAUGAUGGACAGUAAUUCCCCUCCUGAUUUAUAGGUGUUAAAACAGAAUCAGGCUGGAGUGUGGCAAGCUCUGAACGUGGUGCAGAGGACACAGCGGGUCCAACAGACUGACACAUCUACGUGAUACCCGUGGAGUCGUGGACAAGAGCGCACAAGGAAACAGCCCGUUUCAUGUGACCCUGUCUGGGUAAUCAAGGAGUAGGCCCCCUCUGUUCUUAGACAGGCCUAUUGGGAGUCCCAAGAGCUCUGCUGCUGGUGCAGUAGCAAGGACCCGAGUGAGGGUCAGAGGCUAAUAACAAGUGCUCCAAGGGGGACAUGGAGCACAGCACACCUACCAGUGCCCACUGGCCCUCGAACGAAUACAAGGAGCCAGUGGACACUGCCCGGUGAAACCCUGCCAAGCGACCUGGCCGAACGAGGCAGAGCCUCCUUCCUGGUCAUACAGCUCCGGCCAGGAGGCCCAAGGACUUGGUGGGGCCAUGGAUGGGGAGCGCGUAUGCAAAAAAGGAGGAGGCAGCCCUGCAGCAGGAGGCUCUGGAGGAGGUGGUGAAGGGCAGGAGACGGACAGGUGAGGUGCGUGGGUGCUGGCUCGGUCCCUGCCUCAGCAAAGGGGCUGGUGCCUGAGGCGCGGUCGUUGCGGAGGGAGGGAGAGGGGUGCGCGGGAGCCUUCCCCGCAGCGCUUGGGCUCCGGGCCUCGUGGCACUUCUCCACGAGCAGGAGCAGGCCAGGGCACUGGCUUCCCGGCCCCUCCGGCCCUCCCGCCGGCGGCCCGCAGCAGGGCGGGAGCUGGUGGCCGGGACCGAGCGGCCGCG
rnacentral:lncRNA from 1 species